rnacentral:rRNA from 1 species
AACUAACGCUGGCGGCGUGCCUAACACAUGCAAGUCGUACGAGAAAGUCCGCUUCGGUGGAUCAGUAAAGUGGCGCACGGGUGAGUAACGCGUGGAUAAUCUACCCCUCAGUUGGGAAUAACGUACCGAAAGGUGCGCUAAUACCGAAUGACACUGCACAUCUUCUGUUGUGUAGUCAAAGAUGGCCUCUGCUUGCAAGCUUUCGCUGAAGGAUGAGUCCGCGUACCAUUAGCUAGUUGGUAGGGUAAUGGCCUACCAAGGCAACGAUGGUUAGCUGGUCUGAGAGGAUGAUCAGCCACACUGGAACUGAGACACGGUCCAGACUCCUACGGGAGGCAGCAGUGAGGAAUAUUGCGCAAUGGGGGCAACCCUGACGCAGCAACGCCGCGUGAGUGAGGAAGGUUUUCGGACCGUAAAGCUCUGUCGAGCGGGAAGAAAUGCACGAUGGCUAAUAUCCAUCAUGCCUGACGGUACCGCUAAAGGAAGCACCGGCUAACUCCGUGCCAGCCGCCGCAGUAAUAC